UCGAGAGGGGUCUGGCUGCAGACAUCCACCCACACGCUCCAAACAUCCACCCACAGGCACUUCCGCUGCAGACAGAAACAUCCACCCACACGCCGGAAAUUGCGUGCUGGUGGAUGUCUGGAGCGCGAUUUGCACAUUAUUCAACAGCGCCCCCUCGGGUCACACUUUUCGGUGGGUCGCAGAAUUCGGUGUAACAACGGGACUCACUGCUCGAAGAUGUGACGUUCGGCUCAGCUGCACUUGGAGGUUAUGAUGCAUCACUCGAUUUUUACGGAUGAUUCAAAGCCAGAAGUCAAACGCUGCACAACUUGCUGCACACUUUUCCACUGCCCCCUAUGCCCAACUUUCAAACCAACCAUCAACACGAAGCUUCAGUGCCACCUGGAAUCCCACAUAAAACAUUCCAAUACAUUUAAAGAAACCUUUGUCAGUCUCAGCCCUGGGCCAUGGAAAGAGACGACUGGUUUGGACAUCGAGGGCUUUCCACAGCAAAAGUAUGGCAUCGACUGUGGCAUCUUCAUGUUGAUGUAUGCCCUUUACAAAGUCAUGGAUGCACCCUUUGACUUCACUGUUCCAUGGCAAACCCUUUGCCCACUGGACUGACACAUCUAAGGCUCUUCUUCGGGGGGCCACUUUACAACAUUGUGGCUGGAGUUGCCUGGCUGCGUCAGAAUGCAGGUUUGCUCAAGGGGAAGGUGGUCGAGCCUGCAUUUCCGAAUAUGAACGCAAAAGAACAGCAGGAGCUCCUGGAAAGGAUACGUUCUUCAAGUGAUGAAGAAGAAAAGUACCCCCUGCUCUUCACAUUUGACUUUCAGGAAGACAUGGA
ensembl:lncRNA